CAAAAAGACAGAGAAGGAGUUAAGGGACCGAAUUGCCCAGCUCCAGGAUUCAAACUUCGAGCUAAGUGGUUCAUCAAAAGCGCAAGCCACCAGAAUGGCUCAGAUGGAGAAACAGAUUGAAGCCUUGAAAAAAGACAAAGCAGAAUUGGCUGCAGAAAGGGACUCAGCCUUGAAAGAAGUUGAAGACCGUAAAAUCAAGUCUCAAGCUCAAUUUGAUGUCCUGGUUGGUAAGAUCAAGAGGCUUGAAGGAGCAAGAGAUGAAGUCGCCAAUGUCGCUGCACCACUCAUCCAAGCUAUGUUCCUCAAUAACAGUGGUCCGAGUGCACUCGACGCAACCGA